GACGAACGCUGGCGGCGUGCCUAAUACAUGCAAGUAGGACGCAGUUGCGAACGGGGGAGUAACGCGUAGGUAACUACCUAUUAGAGGGGGAUAACUAUUGGAAACGAUAGCUAAUACCGCAUACUAGUAGAUGGACCUGCGUUGUAUUAGCUAGUAGGUAGGGUAAUGGCCUACCUAGGGAACGAUACAUAGCCGAGCUGAGAUGGUGAUCGGCCACACUGCGACUGGGACACGGCCCCGACUCCUACGGGAGGCAGCAGUAGGGAAUCUUCGGCAAUGGGUGGAACCCUGACCGAGCAACGCCGCGUGAGUUAAGAGGGUUUUCGGAUCGUAAAGCUCUUUUGUUAAUGUUGCGUUACUUAACCAGAAAGGGACGGCUAACUACGUGCCAGCAGCCGCGGUAAUAC
rnacentral:rRNA from 1 species